UACGGAGGGUGCAAGCGUUGUUCGGAAUCACUGGGCGUAAAGAGCACGUAGGUGGUCUGUUAAGUCAUGUGUGAAAUCCCCCGGCUCAACCGGGGAAUUGCGCCUGAUACUGGCAGGCUCGAGGUCGGUAGGGGUGAGCGGAACUCCAGGUGGAGCGGUGAAAUGCGUAGAUAUCGAGAGGAACACCUGCGGCGAAGGCGGGUUGCUGGGCUGACACUGACGCUGAUGCGCGAAAGCUAGGGGAGCGAACGGG
rnacentral:rRNA from 1 species